rnacentral:rRNA from 1 species
CCUACGGGGUGCAGCAGUGGGGGAUAUUGCACAAUGGGGGAAACCCUGAUGCAGCAACGCCGCGUGUGGGAAGAAGGCUUUCGGAUUGUAAACCACUGUUCUUGGUGAAGAUAAUGACGGUAACCAAGGAGAAAGCUCCGGCUAACUACGUGCCAGCAGCCGCGGUAAUACGUAGGAUGCGAGCGUUAUCCGGAUUUAUUGGGUUUAAAGGGUGCGUAGGCGGAGUGUCAAGUCAGCGGUAAAAUUUCGGAGCUCAACCCCGUCGUGCCGUUGAAACUGACACCCUUGAGUGAGUGAGAAGUAAGCGGAAUGCGUGGUGUAGCGGUGAAAUGCAUAGAUAUCACGCAGAACGCCGAUUGCGAAGGCAGCUUACCGGCGCUCAACUGACGCUGAGGCACGAAAGUGCGGGUAUCGAACAGGAUUAGAUACCCGUGUAGUC